rnacentral:scRNA from 1 species
GCCACCGACGGCAUCGACCUGGAUGAUUUCGA